GAUGAAGAACGCAGUGAAAUGCGAUAAGUAAUGUGAAUUGCAGAAUUCAGUGAAUCAUCGAAUCUUUGAACGCACCUUGCGCUCUUUGGUAUUCCGAAGAGCAUGCCUGUUUGAGUGUCAUGAAAAUAUCAACCUUGACUUGGGUUUUGUGCUCUAGUCUCGGCUUGGAAUUGGGUGCUUGCCGCUUUUACGAGCGGCUCACCUUAAAUGUAUUAGCUGGAUCUGUCUUUGAGACUUGGUUUGACUUGGCGUAAUAAGUAUUUCGCUAAGGACAUUCUUCGGAGUGGCCUCGUUUCUAGGACGCUUGUCCGCUUUCCAAUACAAGUUCCACCUCGUGUACAUGACUUUUUAUUAUCUGGCCUCAAAUCAGGUAGGACUACCCGCUGAACUUAAGCAUAUCAAUAAGCGGAGGA
rnacentral:misc_RNA from 1 species